UACGUAGGGUGCAAGCGUUGUCCGGAAUUAUUGGGCGUAAAGAGCUCGUAGGUGGCCUGUCGCGUCGGCUGUGAAAACUCGGGGCUCAACUCCGAGCUUGCAGUCGAUACGGGCAGGCUAGAGUUCGGCAGGGGAGACUGGAAUUCCUGGUGUAGCGGUGAAAUGCGCAGAUAUCAGGAGGAACACCGGUGGCGAAGGCGGGCCUCUGGGCCGAUACUGACGCUGAGGCACGAAAGCGUGGGGAGCAAACAGG
rnacentral:rRNA from 1 species